rfam:Brassica napus, WGS project CCCW01000000 data, contig: 3432
GAUCUGUUGAUGAGCAAAUACUGCAACAAUAUGAAGGAGGAAAUAUGCAUGAUUAUUGGUAUUUUAUAAUCUCUGAUGAUC